GACGAACGCUGGCGGCGUGCUUAACACAUGCAAGUCGAGCGGUAAGGCCUUUCGGGGUACACGAGCGGCGAACGGGUGAGUAACACGUGGGUGAUCUGCCCUGCACUUCGGGAUAAGCCUGGGAAACUGGGUCUAAUACCGGAUAUGACCUCCUAUCGCAUGGUGGGUGGUGGAAAGAUUUAUCGGUGCAGGAUGGGCCCGCGGCCUAUCAGCUUGUUGGUGGGGUAAUGGCCUACCAAGGCGACGACGGGUAGCCGACCUGAGAGGGUGACCGGCCAAACUGGGACUGAGACACGGCCCAGACUCCAACGGGAGGCAGCAGUGGGGAAUAUUGCACAAUGGGCGAAAGCCUGAUGCAGCGACGCCGCGUGAGGGAUGACGGCCUUCGGGUUGUAAACCUCAUUAAGCAGGGACGAAGCGCAAGUGACGGUACCUGCAGAAGAAGCACCGGCUAACUACGUG
rnacentral:rRNA from 1 species